GCUGCUGGGGGCCUGGCCUGCGGACGCGCCGUUCCCACGAGGCACUGCGGCCCAGGGGCUGGUGCGGGAGGGCCCCCGGCACUUGGGGACACUGUACGCCCUCACCGCUCACCUCUGGGACUGGCAUGGUAGACAGGACAGCACCCAGGGGAGUCAAGGGCACUGGCGAGACCAGAUUAGGCGAGGCGGGCGGGGCGGGAGUGGGGGAGUUCUCGGGGCGAGGGGGGGUUGGGGCGCAGCGGGUGAGGAGCCGGAGCCUGGCGGGGAGCCAGGGGGCACUGGCCUCCGAGUCCGUGGCCAAGCGGGCCUCUGCGGGUGAUGAUGGAGCAGAGAUCGGUGCCUCUGCGCUCGGACCGGAGACGAGGUCACGUCUCCGGCGGGGGUGGACGUGUCUGCCAGCCACCGAAGGCCGGGCGGUAGGUAGGACAUGUUCAGAGGGACAUGAUAUGGUCCGGCGUGACGGUGAGGACAGACAGGAUGCCGUCCGGCCUCCCUGA
rnacentral:lncRNA from 1 species